UUAAGCGACUAAGCGUACACGGUGGAUGCCCUGGCAGUCAGAGGCGAUGAAGGACGUGCUAAUCUGCGAUAAGCGUCGGUAAGGUGAUAUGAACCGUUAUAACCGGCGAUUUCCGAAUGGGGGAAACCCAGUGUGUUUCGACACACUAUCAUUAACUGAAUCCAUAGGUUAAUGAGGCGAACCGGGGGAACUGAAACAUCUAAGUACCCCGAGGAAAAGAAAUCAACCGAGAUUCCCCCAGUAGCGGCGAGCGAACGGGGAGCAGCCCAGAGCCUGAAUCAGUGUGUGUGUUAGUGGAAGCGUCUGGAAAGGCGCGCGAUACAGGGUGACAGCCCCGUACACAAAAAUGCACAUGCUGUGAGCUCGAUGAGUAGGGCGGGACACGUGGUAUCCUGUCUGAAUAUGGGGGGACCAUCCUCCAAGGCUAAAUACUCCUGACUGACCGAUAGUGAACCAGUACCGUGAGGGAAAGGCGAAAAGAACCCCGGCGAGGGGAGUGAAAAAGAACCUGAAACCGUGUACGUACAAGCAGUGGGAGCACAGAGCAAUCUGUGUGACUGCGUACCUUUUGUAUAAUGGGUCAGCGACUUAUAUUCUGUAGCAAGGUUAACCGAAUAGGGGAGCCGAAGGGAAACCGAGUCUUAACUGGGCGUUAAGUUGCAGGGUAUAGACCCGAAACCCGGUGAUCUAGCCAUGGGCAGGUUGAAGGUUGGGUAACACUAACUGGAGGACCGAACCGACUAAUGUUGAAAAAUUAGCGGAUGACUUGUGGCUGGGGGUGAAAGGCCAAUCAAACCGGGAGAUAGCUGGUUCUCCCCGAAAGCUAUUUAGGUAGCGCCUCGUGAAUUCAUCUCCGGGGGUAGAGCACUGUUUCGGCAAGGGGGUCAUCCCGACUUACCAACCCGAUGCAAACUGCGAAUACCGGAGAAUGUUAUCACGGGAGACACACGGCGGGUGCUAACGUCCGUCGUGAAGAGGGAAACAACCCAGACCGCCAGCUAAGGUCCCAAAGUCAUGGUUAAGUGGGAAACGAUGUGGGAAGGCCCAGACAGCCAGGAUGUUGGCUUAGAAGCAGCCAUCAUUUAAAGAAAGCGUAAUAGCUCACUGGUCGAGUCGGCCUGCGCGGAAGAUGUAACGGGGCUAAACCAUGCACCGAAGCUGCGGCAGCGACGCUUAUGCGUUGUUGGGUAGGGGAGCGUUCUGUAAGCCUGCGAAGGUGUGCUGUGAGGCAUGCUGGAGGUAUCAGAAGUGCGAAUGCUGACAUAAGUAACGAUAAAGCGGGUGAAAAGCCCGCUCGCCGGAAGACCAAGGGUUCCUGUCCAACGUUAAUCGGGGCAGGGUGAGUCGACCCCUAAGGCGAGGCCGAAAGGCGUAGUCGAUGGGAAACAGGUUAAUAUUCCUGUACUUGGUGUUACUGCGAAGGGGGGACGGAGAAGGCUAUGUUGGCCGGGCGACGGUUGUCCCGGUUUAAGCGUGUAGGCUGGUUUUCCAGGCAAAUCCGGAAAAUCAAGGCUGAGGCGUGAUGACGAGGCACUACGGUGCUGAAGCAACAAAUGCCCUGCUUCCAGGAAAAGCCUCUAAGCAUCAGGUAACAUCAAAUCGUACCCCAAACCGACACAGGUGGUCAGGUAGAGAAUACCAAGGCGCUUGAGAGAACUCGGGUGAAGGAACUAGGCAAAAUGGUGCCGUAACUUCGGGAGAAGGCACGCUGAUAUGUAGGUGAAGUCCCUCGCGGAUGGAGCUGAAAUCAGUCGAAGAUACCAGCUGGCUGCAACUGUUUAUUAAAAACACAGCACUGUGCAAACACGAAAGUGGACGUAUACGGUGUGACGCCUGCCCGGUGCCGGAAGGUUAAUUGAUGGGGUUAGCGCAAGCGAAGCUCUUGAUCGAAGCCCCGGUAAACGGCGGCCGUAACUAUAACGGUCCUAAGGUAGCGAAAUUCCUUGUCGGGUAAGUUCCGACCUGCACGAAUGGCGUAAUGAUGGCCAGGCUGUCUCCACCCGAGACUCAGUGAAAUUGAACUCGCUGUGAAGAUGCAGUGUACCCGCGGCAAGACGGAAAGACCCCGUGAACCUUACUAUAGCUUGACACUGAACAUUGAGCCUUGAUGUGUAGGAUAGGUGGGAGGCUUUGAAGUGUGGACGCCAGUCUGCAUGGAGCCGACCUUGAAAUACCACCCUUUAAUGUUUGAUGUUCUAACGUGGACCCGUAAUCCGGGUUGCGGACAGUGUCUGGUGGGUAGUUUGACUGGGGCGGUCUCCUCCUAAAGAGUAACGGAGGAGCACGAAGGUUGGCUAAUCCUGGUCGGACAUCAGGAGGUUAGUGCAAUGGCAUAAGCCAGCUUGACUGCGAGCGUGACGGCGCGAGCAGGUGCGAAAGCAGGUCAUAGUGAUCCGGUGGUUCUGAAUGGAAGGGCCAUCGCUCAACGGAUAAAAGGUACUCCGGGGAUAACAGGCUGAUACCGCCCAAGAGUUCAUAUCGACGGCGGUGUUUGGCACCUCGAUGUCGGCUCAUCACAUCCUGGGGCUGAAGUAGGUCCCAAGGGUAUGGCUGUUCGCCAUUUAAAGUGGUACGCGAGCUGGGUUUAGAACGUCGUGAGACAGUUCGGUCCCUAUCUGCCGUGGGCGCUGGAGAAUUGAGGGGGGCUGCUCCUAGUACGAGAGGACCGGAGUGGACGCAUCACUGGUGUUCGGGUUGUCAUGCCAAUGGCACUGCCCGGUAGCUAAAUGCGGAAGAGAUAAGUGCUGAAAGCAUCUAAGCACGAAACUUGCCCCGAGAUGAGUUCUCCCUGACUCCUUGAGAGUCCUGAAGGAACGUUGAAGACGACGACGUUGAUAGGCCGGGUGUGUAAGCGCAGCGAUGCGUUGAGCUAACCGGUACUAAUGAACCGUGAGGCUUAACCUU
rnacentral:rRNA from 1 species